GGGUCGGUGGUGUAACGGGAACACAACGGUCUCCAAAACCGGAGAGUGGAGGUUCGAGUCCUUCCCGGCCCGCCA
rnacentral:tRNA from 1 species